rnacentral:rRNA from 1 species
CAGUCGAACGGAGAACUUAUUUCGGUAAGUUCUUAGUGGCGAACGGGUGAGUCACGUGUGGGCAACCUGCCCUCCAGUUGGGGACUACAUUCCGAAAGGGAUGCUAAUACCGAAUGUGCUCCCUCCUCCGCAUGGAGGAGGGAGGAAAGAUGGCCUCUGCUUGCAAGCUAUCGCUGGAAGAUGGGCCCGCGUCUGAUUAGCUAGUUGGUGGGGUAACGGCUCACCAAGGCGAUGAUCAGUAGCCGGUCUGAGAGGAUGAACGGCCACAUUGGGACUGAGACACGGCCCAAACUCCUACGGGAGGCAGCAGUGGGGAAUCUUCCGCAAUGGACGAAAGUCUGACGGAGCAACGCCGCGUGAGUGAUGAAGGUCUUCGGAUUGUAAAACUCUGUUGUUAGGGACGAAAGCACCGUGUUCGAACAGGUCAUGGUGUUGACGGUACCUAACGAGGAAGCCACGGCUAACUACGUGCCAGCAGCCGCGGUAAUACGUAGGUGGCAAGCGUUGUCCGGAAUUAUUGGGCGUAAAGAGCAUGUAGGCGGGCUUUUAAGUCUGACGUGAAAAUGCGGGGCUUAACCCCGUAUGGCGUUGGAUACUGGAAGUCUUGAGUGCAGGAGAGGAAAGGGGAAUUCCCAGUGUAGCGGUGAAAUGCGUAGAUAUUGGGAGGAACACCAGUGGCGAAGGCGCCUUUCUGGACUGUGUCUGACGCUGAGAUGCGAAAGCCAGGGUAGCAAACGGGAUUAGAUACCCCGGUAGUCCUGGCCGUAAACGAUGGAUACUAGGUGUAGGAGGUAUCGACCCCUUCUGUGCCG